rnacentral:rRNA from 1 species
AUUGAACGCUGGCGGCAGGCCUAACACAUGCCAGUCGAACGGUAACAGGAAGCAGCUUGCUGCUUUGCUGACGAGUGGCGGACGGGUGAGUAAUGUCUGGGAAACUGCCCGAUGGAGGGGGAUAACUACUGGAAACGGUAGCUAAUACCGCAUAACGUCGCAAGACCAAAGAGGGGGACCUUAGGGCCUCUUGCCAUCGGAUGUGCCCAGAUGGGAUUAGCUAGUAGGUGGGGUAACGGCUCACCUAGGCGACGAUCCCUAGCUGGUCUGAGAGGAUGACCAGCCACACUGGAACUGAGACACGGUCCAGACUCCUACGGGAGGCAGCAGUGGGGAAUAUUGCACAAUGGGCGCAAGCCUGAUGCAGCCAUGCCGCGUGUAUGAAGAAGGCCUUCGGGUUGUAAAGUACUUUCAGCGGGGAGGAAGGGAGUAAAGUUAAUACCUUUGCUCGUUGACGUUACCCGCAGAAGAAGCACCGGCUAACUCCGUG